GGCUCAGAUUGAACGCUGGCGGCAUGCCUAACACAUGCAAGUCGAACGGCAGCACAGCAGUAGCAAUACUGUGGGUGGCGAGUGGCGGACGGGUGAGGAAUACGUCGGAAUCUGCCCAGUCGUGGGGGAUAACUAGCCGAAAGGUUAGCUAAUACCGCAUACGACCGAGAGGUGAAAGCGGGGGACCGCAAGGCCUCGCGCGAUUGGAUGAGCCGACGUCGGAUUAGCUAGUUGGCGGGUAAAGGCCACCAAGGCGACGAUCCGUAGCUGGUCUAAGAGGAUGAUCAGCCACACUGGAACUGAGACACGGUCCAGACUCCUACGGGAGGCAGCAGUGGGGAAUAUUGGACAAUGGGCGCAAGCCUGAUCCAGCAAUGCCGCGUGUGUGAAGAAGGCCUUCGGGUUGUAAAGCACUUUUAUCAGGAACGAAAAGCGUUGGAUUAAUACUCUGACGUGCUGACGGUACCUGAGGAAUAAGCACCGGCUAACUUCGUG
rnacentral:rRNA from 1 species